rnacentral:misc_RNA from 1 species
AAAAAAACAUCAUUAAGAUUUUCCCUGCAAAAUCUAGGAGGUACUGCUACUGACAUGGAUAUCAAUGGCUCUUGGCAGUUGUCCAUAUUUCAAAUGACGCUAAAUAAGGUAUGCAAAUUGGAUGAAUGAAAACAUCAUGUAAUGGCAUAAAAGUGUAUACGAUUGCACAUGAAGUUAGGGAAACAUUCUUUUUUUGGGCAUUUAAACUAAUGCACUACAGCAGUAAGAGAAAGCAGGGUAAACAAAUCAUGCGCAUGACAUACG